UACGGAGGGUGCAAGCGUUAUCCGGAUUCCCUGGGUUUAAAGGGUGCGUAGGCGGGUUGGUAAGUCCGUGGUGAAAUCCCCAAGCUUAACUUGGGAACUGCCGUGGAUACUAUCAAUCUUGAAUAUCGUGGAGGUAAGCGGAAUAUGUCAUGUAGCGGUGAAAUGCUUAGAUAUGACAUAGAACACCAAUUGCGUAGGCAGCUUACUACACGAUCAUUGACGCUGAGGCACGAAAGCGUGGGGAGCAAACAGG
rnacentral:rRNA from 1 species